rnacentral:rRNA from 1 species
CACGGGGGGAGCAAGCGUUGUUCGGAAUCACUGGGCGUAAAGGGCGUGUAGGCGGUCAAGUAAGUGGGAUGUGAAAUCCCUCGGCUCACCCGAGGACCUGCAUCCCAAACUGCUUGGCUUGAGUAUGGGAGAGGAUGAGGGAAUUCCUGGUGUGGCGGUGAAAUGCGUAGAUAUCAGGAGGAACACCGGUGGCGAAGGCGCUCAUCUGGCCCAAUACUGACGCUGAGGCGCGAAAGCUAGGGGAGCAAACGGG